rnacentral:tRNA from 1 species
AGAGUAGUAGCACAGUUGGCAGUGUUCCUGGUUUGGGACCAGGAGGUCGCAGGUUCGAGUCCUGUCUACUCUA